UACAGAGGUCCCAAGCGUUGUUCGGAUUCACUGGGCGUAAAGGGUGCGUAGGCGGUCGGGUAAGUCUGAUGUGAAAUCUCACAGCUUAACUGUGAAACUGCAUUGGAUACUAUCCGGCUUGAGGAAUGGAGGGGAGACUGGAAUACUUGGUGUAGCAGUGAAAUGCGUAGAUAUCAAGUGGAACACCAGUGGCGAAGGCGAGUCUCUGGACAUUUCCUGACGCUGAGCACGAAAGCCAGGGGAGCAAACGGG
rnacentral:rRNA from 1 species